AAUAAGUUGCUGUUAAGUCUUCGACUUUAAUUAGCAACAUGUCAUCAAACAAGAAAGACAUGCCGUCAGGAUUCAUAUUCCAAUCAGAACAUACAUCAUUGAAACCAUUUGUGUUAAGAGCUGAGGCUACACCACCACAGAGAAAUGAAGAUCUAUCACAUUUGUAUUCGGCGCCAUGUAGUCCAGCUGAGGUGGAAAAAAAAUUAAAAGAAAAAGAAACGCCAGUAAAAAAAAACAAAUAGCGAGGAAAACAUAUCUUUGUUUAUUUGGUGAUACAUUUUAAUUUGAAUUUCGGGUAGUAAAGAUUUCACGAUUAUUUUUGAAUAUGUAAUGAAAUGCGAGGGGAUUAUAAUUUAUGUAUUUAUUAUAAGAACACAUGUAUUGUCAUUUUUUUUAUAAUUUAUUUUAUUUUUUUAUAACUAUUUUAAUUAUAAUUGAAGACAUGUAGUUAAUAUGAACAUUAUGUUAAUAGAUUAUUGA